GGAAGCGUGCCUGAAUAAAGGACCACUUUGAUAGAGUGGACAAUGAGAGUUAAAAUCCCUCCCCUUCCU
rnacentral:tRNA from 1 species